rnacentral:rRNA from 1 species
CACGUAGGGCGCAAGCGUUGUCCGGAAUUAUUGGGCGUAAAGAGCUCGUAGGCGGUCUGUUGCGUCCGCUGUGAAAAACUCGGGGCUUAACCCCGAGCCUGCAGUCGAUACGGGCAGGCUGGAGUUCGGUAGGGGAGACUGGAAUUCCUGGUGUAGCGGUGAAAUGCGCAGAUAUCAGGAGGAACACCGGUGGCGAAGGCGGGGUCUCUGGGACGGUACUGACGCUGAGACGCGAAAGCGUGGGGAGCGAACAGG